GUNNGUNUCAUGGCCCUUACGGCCUGGGCUACACACGUGCUACAAUGGUCGGUACAGAGGGUUGCCAAGCCGCGAGGUGGAGCUAAUCCCAGAAAACCGAUCGUAGUCCGGAUCGCAGUCUGCAACUCGACUGCGUGAAGUCGGAAUCGCUAGUAAUCGCGAAUCAGAAUGUCGCGGUGAAUACGUUCCCGGGCCUUGUACACACCGCCCGUCACACCAUGGGAGUGGGUUGCACCAGAAGUAGCUAGUCUAACCUUCGGGAGGACGGUUACCACGGUGUGAUUCAUGACUGGGGUGAAGUCGUAACAAGGUAGCCGUAGGGGAACCUGCGGUUGGAUNNCACNNNAAC
rnacentral:rRNA from 1 species